rnacentral:tRNA from 1 species
UUCCAGGGGCGGGAAUCGAACCCACAACGUUCCGCUUACCGGGCAGAUGCCAUGUCCACUAGGCUACCCUGGA